GACGAACCGUGCGAACGUUGUUCGGAAUCACUGGGCUUAAAGGGCGCGUAGGCGGCUUGCCAAGUCAGUGGUGAAAUCCUGCAGCUUAACUGCAGAAGUGCCUUUGAUACUGGCGAGCUCGAGGGAGGUAGGGGUAUGUGGAACUUCUGGUGGAGCGGUGAAAUGCGUUGAUAUCAGAAGGAACGCCGGUGGCGAAAGCGACGUACUGGACCUCUUCUGACGCUGAGGCGCGAAAGCUAGGGGAGCAAACGGG
rnacentral:rRNA from 2 species